rnacentral:rRNA from 1 species
CACGUAGGGACCAAGCGUUGUCCGGAUUCAUUGGGCGUAAAGAGCUCGUAGGCGGCUCAGUAAGUCGGGUGUGAAACCUCCAGGCUCAACCUGGAGACGCCACCCGAUACUGCUGUGGCUAGAGUCCAGUAGGGGAGCGUGGAAUUCCUGGUGUAGCGGUGAAAUGCGCAGAUAUCAGGAGGAACACCAGCGGCGAAGGCGGCGCUCUGGGCUGGAACUGACGCUGAGGAGCGAAAGCCAGGGGAGCAAACGGG